rnacentral:rRNA from 1 species
UACGUAGGGGGCGAGCGUUGUCCGGAUUUAUUGGGCGUAAAGAGCGUGUAGGCGGCCAGGUAGGUCUGCUGUGAAAACUCGAGGCUCAACCUCGAGACGUCGGCGGAAACCAUCUGGCUAGAGUCCGGAAGAGGAGAGUGGAAUUCCUGGUGUAGCGGUGGAAAUGCGCAGAUAUCAGGAAGGAACACCCGGUGGCGAAGGCGGGCUC